AUUGAACGCUGGCGGCAUGCUUUACACAUGCAAGUCGAACGGCAGCGCGGGCUUCGGCCUGGCGGCGAGUGGCGAACGGGUGAGUAAUACAUCGGAACGUGCCCAGUAGUGGGGGAUAGCUCGGCGAAAGCCGGAUUAAUACCGCAUACGACCUGCGGGUGAAACCGGGGGAUCUUCGGACCUCGCGCUCUUGGAGCGGCCGAUGGCAGAUUAGCUAGUUGGUGGGGUAAAGGCCUACCAAGGCGACGAUCUGUAGCUGGUCUGAGAGGACGACCAGCCACACUGGGACUGAGACACGGCCCAGACUCCUACGGGAGGCAGCAGUGGGGAAUUUUGGACAAUGGGCGAAAGCCUGAUCCAGCAAUGCCGCGUGUGUGAUGAAGGCCUUCGGGUUGUAAAGCACUUUUGGCGGGAACGAAAAGGACUGUGCCAAUACCACGGUUCGAUGACGGUACCCGCAGAAUAAGCACCGGCUAACUACGUG
rnacentral:rRNA from 1 species